CCUACGGGGGGCAGCAGUGAGGAAUAUUGGUCAAUGGACGAGAGUCUGAACCAGCCAAGUAGCGUGAAGGAUGACUGCCCUAUGGGUUGUAAACUUCUUUUAUAUGGGAAUAAAAUGUUCCACGUGUGGGAUUUUGUAUGUACUAUAUGAAUAAGGAUCGGCUAACUCCGUGCCAGCAGCCGCGGUAAUACGGAGGAUCCGAGCGUUAUCCGGAUUUAUUGGGUUUAAAGGGAGCGUAGGUGGAUUGUUAAGUCAGUUGUGAAAGUUUGCGGCUCAACCGUAAAAUUGCAGUUGAAACUGGCAGUCUUGAGUACAGUAGAGGUGGGCGGAAUUCGUGGUGUAGCGGUGAAAUGCUUAGAUAUCACGAAGAACUCCGAUUGCGAAGGCAGUUCACUGGACUGCAACUGACACUGAGGCUCGAAAGUGUGGGUAUCAAACAGGAUUAGAUACCCUUGUAGU
rnacentral:rRNA from 1 species